rnacentral:rRNA from 1 species
UACGGAGGGGGCUAGCGUUAUUCGGAAUUACUGGGCGUAAAGCGCACGUAGGCGGACUGGAAAGUUGGGGGUGAAAGCCCAGGGCUCAACCCUGGAACUGCCUUCAAAACUCCCAGUCUUGAGGUCGAGAGAGGUGAGUGGAAUUCCGAGUGUAGAGGUGAAAUUUGUAGAUAUUCGGAGGAACACCAGUGGCGAAGGCGGCUCACUGGCUCGAUACUGACGCUGAGGUGCGAAAGCGUGGGGAGCAAACAGG